AAAAUGACACCACUGGGUAAAACGCUGUUAUGGCAGGUAAGAAACAAGGGCGAUAUAUUAUAUAUAUCAUAUGUGUUGUGCUUUUUCAUUGAUUUAAAAUAUUCUUGCAUUUGCAUAUAAUUAUUUAUUCUACAUAGUAUGUAUGUUCAUUAUUUAUUAAGCCUUAUUUAUAAAGUCAAUUAAGAUUUAUUGGGGUAGACAAUUAAUAACUAUAUCCCAUCAACACAACAAAUAUAUUAAACAGCAUACAUUUAUGGAUUUACAUACUACGGGAAAUAGGUAAAUAGAUAAUUUUAUGCAUGACAUUUAAUCAUGUGUGUGCUUUAUUAAAAAAAAAAAAAAACAGAAUUGCAGUGAAUUAAAAACUGCAAGAAUUUGAAACAAAUUUGGAAGAACUCAGUUAUAGGCACAACGUUGCUAUUUUAGAUCUUUAAAUUUCCAACUCAGGUUUCAGCAUUGCCUCUAGUGAAUAAACCACUUUAUUAUGAGGUUAGGAUUUGCAGGAGACGCAGUUAGCUCUCCCCUUUUAUAAAUAAGCAACAUUUUCACUCCCACUCAGCCCUAACUUUGGACCUUUCUACCCAACACCUUGACCUCUUCCCCUAGUUCCCGCUUUAUAUUGUCUGAUUUUACCCAAUUCUCUCUCUUUUGUUAAGAGUAUUAAUUAAUAGAUGAAUAAUGACUAAUCUGUGUAAAUGUCUCUGAAUAAAUGUAUUGUACAAGUAAUGCUACAAAAAAUAUAAUAGAUUUCUUGUAUUUUGGGUCACGGGAAUGUUUUGCACUCAAAUGUAAAUGUGGCAUUCCUGAUGCAAUAGUAAUAUGUAGGAGUUUCCAUCGAUGGCUCACUGUCGCAGUCGUCUUAGAUGUCUAUCAUAGCGAGCACCUGUGAAGAAAGUACUAAGAUCUUUUAAAAAUUGUUUCCUAAGGUCCUGCCUCUCCUUACUCUUAUAUUGAUCACCCAUGUGACGCAAGCAGCUAAAAAUUCAACGUCCUCAAAGAAGGCAAGGUGUCAAAAACAGAAGACAGACUGUAAAGACUGCAUCCUUGUAAAGUUACUAAAUAAGUCCAGUGACGGAACAUCUUACCAAAACAGUAUAGCAAACCUGGAGAACCGAUCCAUUGUUCCAUGGACAAUAGUGUAAGUUUCUGUAAUUAGCUCCUCCAUAUCUGUGACAUUUAACUUAUGACCUCUGCAUACACAUCAGACUACCAGUACCAGAUUAUUAGAAUAAAAGGGCCAUAUAGUCAUCCUGUCCUGUCUGUAACUGGCUUUCACAUUUAUUUAUUUUUUUUGGUCUCUCUUUGUUUUAUAUUUUCACUGUCUAUAAACCUCUUUGUACUGUAUUAUUUAAAUGUUAUUAUUUAUAUAGUGCCAGCAAAUAUUGCAGCGCCUCUUCUUCUUUGCACCUUUACCAAUGUAAUUUCACCACUGUACAAACAUAGCACAGUAGGGUAGUGAAGCUCUCUGCCUGCAGACAAGAUAGGGGUCCACCUGUCAUACAAUCACUCACAGUGGGCUAAAGACCCUUCUUACCUUCUUAAAUGUGGUAUGUAUGUGGUAUAUACAAACUGGGCUCAGUGUAGAAUAGGCCAGGCCUCUAAAGAUCAGAAUUUAGAAUGCAGUUUGUUGUGUAAAAGAAGCAUUUGAAAUACUUGGGAUUUAGGCAGAUGCUCCAUUCGACACCACAGUAAAACUAUCUGGUUCAAUGUUUGUUUGUUUUUUUUCAACCUCCCUGCUUCCUACUGACUUUGGGUCGCAGAAAUGUGAUCCAUGCAACUGCUUAUACCUACGAUACCACACUUGUAAGACAAAUAUUGCUAUGAAACAUGACUAAUCAGCACUAUAUCUCUGCAGGUCAAAUUCUAAAGGGCAAACAAUCCCAACAACAAUUCCCAAGAUCACUUGCUCUAAACAGUGCGUUGGCUUCGAGACUUUAUUGAAUGCAGUGGCAAUAGAUAGAGAAAUCAUAUAUCUCAAGAAAGAAAAGGGUUUCUUUACUCUGCAUUCUGCAAUGAUGACCGUUGGAUGCACGUGUGUCAAUCCACGCAUUAUUGAGAAAAUUAACUGAUCGACUUUCCAAAGUUCUGGAGUAAAAAAAAAAACCGAGCUGAAUAAAUGCAAUCAUUUUAAC
rnacentral:lncRNA from 1 species